rnacentral:ncRNA from 2 species
UGCACUCCAGCCUGGGCAACAUAG